UGGUUCUGGCAUCGAUGAAGAACGCAGCGAAAUGCGAUAAGUAAUGUGAAUUGCAGAAUUCAGUGAAUCAUCGAAUCUUUGAACGCACAUUGCGCCCACUGGUAUUCCGGUGGGCAUGCCUGUUCGAGCGUCAUUACGACCCUUACGCCCUGUUGCGUAGCGUUGAGGUUCUACCGCCCGCGGUAGUUCUCUAAAGUCAGUGGCGGCGUCGGAUCACACGCUAAGCGUAGUAACUUUUCUCGCUUUUGCCCGUGGGCCCGGCGGCAGCCAUAAGCCAUCUAUUCUAGUGGUUGACCUCGGAUCAGGUAGGAAUACCCGCUGA
rnacentral:misc_RNA from 1 species